rnacentral:lncRNA from 1 species
CAAGAACAUGACGUACACAUUCCCACAAGUCCAUCUGAUGGAGGUAGUUCCUCCAUUGAGAUGCCCCUUUCCCAGCCAGAACCUGGAAGCAACCUAGAUGCCAAUCAACUGAAGAAUGGAUAUAGAAAAUGUGGUACAUUUACACAAUGGAGUAUGACUCAGCAGAAAAAACAAACAAACAACAAUGGAAUCUUGAAAUUCACAGGCAAAUGGAUGGAACUAGAAGAAACCAUCCUGAGUGAGAGCCUUCAUCCAGUAGCUGAUGGAAGCAGAAGCAGACACCCACAGCUAAACACUGAACUGAACUCCUGGAAUCCAGUUGCAGAGAGGGAGGAGUGAUGAGCAAAGGGGUCAAGACCAGGCUGGAAAAAUCCACAGAAACAGCUGACCUGAACAAGGGAGAGCUCAUGGACCCUAGACUGAUAGCUGGGAAACCAGGACUGACUCAGAAUGUAGGUGUCAGUUUGGAGACCUGGGUAGUCCAUGGGGCCUCUGGUAGUGGAUCAGUAUUUAUCUCUAGUGUACGAAUGGACUUUGG